UACAGAGGUCCCAAGCGUUGUUCGGAUUCACUGGGCGUAAAGGGUGCGCAGGUGGGUUGGCAAGUUUGACGUGAAAGCCCCGGGCUUAACCCGGGAAUGGCGUUGAAAACUGCUGAUCUGGAGGAUCGGAGGGGGGACUGGAAUUCUUGGUGUAGCAGUGAAAUGCGUAGAUAUCAAGAGGAACACCAGUGGCGAAGGCGAGUCCCUGGACGAUACCUGACACUGAGGCACGAAAGCCAAGGGAGCAAACAGG
rnacentral:rRNA from 1 species